rnacentral:rRNA from 1 species
GACGAACGCUGGCGGCGUGCUUAACACAUGCAAGUCGAACGGAAAGGCCUGCUUUCCCUUGUGGAUUGCGGGUACUCGAGUGGCGAACGGGUGAGUAACACGUGAGUGAUCUGCCCCCAACUUGGGUAUAAGCCUGGGAAACUGGGUCUAAUUCCCGAUAGGACUGCAGGGUGGUGCCUGUGGUGGAACACGAUUUUCUAGUGGUUGGGGAUGAGCUCGCGGCCUAUCAGCUUGUUGGUGGGGUAAUGGCCUACCAAGGCGGCGACGGGUAGCCGGCCUGAGAGGGUGGACGGACACAUUGGGACUGAGAUACGGCCCAGACUCCUACGGGAGGCAGCAGUGGGGAAUAUUGCACAAUGGGCGGAAGCCUGAUGCAGCGACGCCGCGUGGGGGAUGACGGCCUUCGGGUUGUAAACUCCUUUCGACCGCGAGGAAGCCACCUGGUUGGAAGGGUGGUGACGGUAGUGGUAGAAGAAGCACCGGCUAACUACGUG